rnacentral:rRNA from 1 species
GGGACAACCCGCCGAAAGGCGGGCUAAACCCGCGUACAUGCCACCGGGGCAUCCCGGAGGCAGGAAAGGCUUCGGCCGGACAGGGAUGGGCAUGCGGCGCAUUAGGCAGUAGGCGGGGUAACGGCCCACCUAACCGACGAUGCGUAGGGGUUCUGAGAGGAAGGUCCCCCACACUGGUACUGAGACACGGACCAGACUCCUACGGGAGGCAGCAGUGAGGAAUAUUGGUCAAUGGUCGGGAGACUGAACCAGCCAAGCCGCGUGAGGGAUGAAGGUACAGAGUAUCGUAAACCUCUUUUGUCAGGGAACAAAGGCGGGGACGUGUCCCCGGAUGAGUGUACCUGAAGAAAAAGCAUCGGCUAACUCCGUGCCAGCAGCCGCGGUAAUACGGAGGAUGCGAGCGUUAUCCGGAUUUAUUGGGUUUAAAGGGUGCGCAGGCGGUCUGUUAAGUCAGCGGUCAAAGCCCGGGGCUCAACCCCGGCCCGCCGUUGAAACUGGCAGUCUCGAGUUGGAGAGAAGUAUGCGGAAUGCGCGGUGUAGCGGUGAAAUGCAUAGAUAUCGCGCAGAACUCCGAUUGCGAAGGCAGCAUGCCGGCUCCACACUGACGCUGAGGCACGAAAGCGUGGGUAUCGAACAGGAUUAGAUACCCUGGUAGUCCACGCAGUAAACGAUGAAUGCAGGCUGUCCGGG